rnacentral:rRNA from 1 species
AACGUAUCCAAUAAUGGGGGAUAACUAAGCGAAAGCUUGGCUAAUACCGCAUACACCCUAAGGGGAAAAGCAGGGGAUCUUCGGACCUUGCGUUAAUGGAGCGGCUGAUAUCUGAUUAGCUAGUUGGUGGGGUAAAGGCCCACCAAGGCGACGAUCAGUAGCUGGUCUGAGAGGACGACCAGCCACACUGGAACUGAGACACGGUCCAGACUCCUACGGGAGGCAGCAGUGGGGAAUUUUGGACAAUGGGCGCAAGCCUGAUCCAGCCAUUCCGCGUGAGU